AACUGCAAACCUUCAGAACCUAAACUUUGCUAAAAUAAAGAUUUUAUAGUUUUCAAUUCAGAAGUUAAUUUUACAAAAGUAAGAAAUUACACCUUACAACCUCCAAGGUUCUGGGAGUAUCCAAUUGUAAGGACAACUGUUCAGUCAAAGCAACCUUACAAGUACUAAGACUCUCCAAUCUCUAAGAUAUAGGUUUUAUUAGCAUAUAAAACUACACUAAUGACCGAUAUUAUCAUGUCACAACAUGAAUGGCCAUUACAGUUUUAUAGUCUUACCAAUUGGAUAAAAAAAAUUCCGCUAAGUCUCAUUAAAUCAAUUCUCCCAAUUCUGUAGAAGGAAGAAAACAUUAAAUGCAAAUUGAAUUAUAAAAUUAUUAUUGGAGAUCCAUUACACAUGUAGUCAUAAAGAACUACAUAUAAUCAUAUGUUUAAGGUAGAAUCCUCUCUAUAGAACCCAAUCUAAGAGGACUAGCCACUAAUUCUUAAUGAAUUGGUGGUCUUUACAAUGAUAAAGCAAGUAUUAAGACUCACACUAAUGAUUAAUAAAGUUCUAUUGAUAGCCUCCAUUUCUACCAUCCCCUAACUCAUCCUAUAGUUAAAAACAAUUUAAACAUUAAUUAAAAUAAAAGUACUCCCC
rnacentral:lncRNA from 1 species